UACGUAGGGUGCAAGCGUUAAUCGGAAUUACUGGGCGUAAAGCGUGCGCAGGCGGUUUUGUAAGUCUGACGUGAAAAUCCCCCGGGCUUAACCUGGGAAUUGCGUUGGAGACUGCAAGGCUAGAAUCUGGCAGAGGGGUAGAAUUCCACGUGUAGCAGUGAAAAUGCGUAGAGAUGUGGAGGAACACCGAUGGCGAAGGCAG
rnacentral:rRNA from 1 species